UCAACCGCAAAUUCCAAGAUGGCGUAUACUCUAAGAGACGCAAUAGUUUUUCCCUUCUUAGCUCUUUUCGACGCUUUAUAGUGUCCUUCUACAGUAGCUCUAAUCGAGGCUUGCCGCAGAACGACAAAAUUUAAGAGGGGAGUAAAAAUAUGAGGUCUGUGUAGCAUUUACGUGCGAUUCAAUUGUGAGUGUUCCGGUUCCAGUGUGCAUAUCUUAACGACAAGGCAUGAAAAAUAAGUCCGAUGGAAGAUAGAAUUGCUCCCUCACCCCUAAGAUGGCAGUUAGUUGUAACAAUUCUAACAAAAACACGAACAGUUCAGAUUUGUAAUACAACAGCACUUUGAAAUAAAGUUUAGUUCUCGAUAUUGAUCUCGACAACAGAGAGAUCCAUCGAAACAACGUCUUGGCUUGAAGGAGAACUGAACGCCGUUUGAUUUGUGACGCUUACAAAGCUAUGAGAAACUUGAGAAAUGUUUUAAGGGAAGGAAUCAGCUUUGAUUUUAUAUUAAUCGAUGAAAAACCAAUCAACUGCCUAUUUC